rnacentral:lncRNA from 1 species
AAAAUAAAUUUUUUUUGAAUAGUCGUCCGAUUUGUUCGUGUCCGUACGAGGUAAGUUCAUAAGUGAAUAAUUGUUGUUAAAUUCAUAUGAAAAUGUAUUUAAUUGUGUCGAGUUGAAUUUUAGUAACUAUAUAUGUGUAUGUUGAAUUAAUAUAAGUAUAGGAGAAGUAACUACGAGCUUGAAACGAAUGAAUUAAGUUCGAAAG